CUCUCCCUCCUGCUGUGCCCAUAAACUGCAGAGAGGGAGGGGGAAGCUGCUCAGAUGGGUUCAAAAAACUCCCUGGGCUCAACGCUGGUUCUGACUGCCUAAGACAUGGGCUGGUGACACAGCGGACCCGAACCCUGAGGAUGUGAGGCAGGUGCACAGCUGGAGGUGGGAUCCACACAGCUCAGAACAGCUGGAUCUUGCUCAGUCUCUGUCAGAGGAAGAUUCCUUGGGUUAAGAAAAACCUUCCAGUCUGAACAGUGACUGGAGAGCUCCAAGGAAAGCCCCUUGGUAACGCAGCCGCUGGCACCAUGAACCCAGAGAGCAGCAUCUUUAUUGAGGAUUCCCUUAAGUAUUUCCAGGACCGAGUGAGCAGAGAGAAUCUGCUACAACUGCUGACUGAUGGUAGAGCCUGGAGCGAAUUCAUGGUUGCUGCUGAACUGUCCAGGUAACCUCCACCGGGUUACUUCUGUGGGGAGCCCCAGUGAUGCCACCCGUAUCUCCCUUGGGCUAGUUUUCCCUGACAUGCACACCUCCUCCAGGCAGGCCCCUCUGCUGGGCUUGAGGAUGACCUUCUCAGCAGUCCAGGAAGAGUAUUUCCUCCCUGUCCUUCGCUGGCAGUGAGUAGCCUCAGGCUGAGGGGACAGGAAGCCCACAGGGACAGGGUCAUUUCUGCCAUCUGCUGGUGAUGGGAACUUUGCAAGUUACUUUCUCACUUUCCGCCUUUCUUCAUCCAUGGAGUUUGAUUGUGAGAAAAAUGAGAUCAUGCAUGUAAAGUGCUUAGCAUAAUGACUGACACAUAGUAAGUGCACAGUUAACGUUAACAUCUAACAACCUUGGUGGAAAUAGACCAGGGUUAAGGGUCUUCUUCUUGAAGAUGGGAGCCCAGCAGGACUUCCUUUGGGACAAGUCAGAAAAAUCCUGACAUAACCAAUGCGUGUUCCUGGGGAUGCUGGCUGGGACCAUUUUUUCUCAUCUGAGGAAUUCCAUAAACAUGGCAGGACUCUUCUGCUGGUCCAGGAUGCUGGGAGGCUGGAGUGGAGUUGGACAGCACUGGGUUUCCUCCCGGCUCUGUCUGUGUUUAGUCCCUGGGCUCUAGGCUUAUGUCAUGGAGACUGGGAACUGUCAUCGGUCCCAUAGGAAUAGCAAGUCAAUGUGAUAGGAGUGUGGUGAACGCCUUAGAGUGAACUCCAGGUCAAAUGUGGGAAACCAAGGACCAAGAUCCUGCCCAAAGGCCCAGAGACCAGGACCAGUGUCAGAGCCUGAGGUCAGGAUGCAGCAAGAGUCAGCCUUCUUUUUGUAGGACAAGUAGGAAGGUUGAGGCACCAGGGCUGGGACUAGGGUGUGGCAAGAAGGGCACCCUAGAGGGCUUGAAACUUAAGGAGGUCAUGAACUUGCAGAGGACAUGUGAGUGGGAGAGGAAUAUUUAUUCCCUGUCUGGAUGAUCCCAACACUCAUGGACAUAGAGGAUCAUGGCUGCUUGUGUCUCUCACACCCUGCCUUGGAACUGGCAAGUUCUGGGCUACCCUUUGGGAUCUUCUUCUCUUCUACACAAAGAAGCCCCUGACCAUGGCAAGCAGUAUGCCUUAGUGACCAUCUCCAUAGUAGAAUGAGUUGCUGCCAAUUUAUGUAAUUUCAGGGGUACUGAGUAGACUGACAAGUCCCCAACCAAGAAGGAAAACACUUCCUCUACCAUCUUGUCCAAAUUCAGGUCUUUUCAGCAUUAGCAAUUUAUAUAGAUGGUUCUGAAAGUGUCCUGAAU